rnacentral:rRNA from 1 species
GACGAACGCUGGCGGCGUGCUUAACACAUGCAAGUCGAGCGGAAAGACCACUUCGGUGGUACUCGAGCGGCGAACGGGUGAGUAACACGUGAGUAAUCUGCCCCUGGCUUUGGGAUAGCCACCGGAAACGGUGAUUAAUACCGGAUACGACCACUUCUCGCAUGGGAUGGUGGUGGAAAGUUUUUUCGGCCAGGGAUGUGCUCGCGGCCUAUCAGCUUGAUGGUGAGGUAAUGGCUCACCAUGGCUUCGACGGGUAGCCGGCCUGAGAGGGUGACCGGUCACACUGGGACUGGGACACGGCCCAGACUCCUACGGGAGGCAGCAGUGGGGAAUAUUGGACAAUGGGCGGAAGCCUGAUCCAGCAACGCCGCGUGAGGGAUGACGGCCUUCGGGUUGUAAACCUCUUUCAGCAGGGACGAAGCGCAAGUGACGGUACCUGCAGAAGAAGCACCGGCCAACUACGUGCCAGCCGCCGCGGUAA